ACAGGAUGGUGCAGUCGAGUAUGCAUUGAGCCCAAGGUCUGGGAGCAAUAACAUAAUUUUGCAAGUCAUGAUGGAGACUAAGAAAAUUCGACAGCAUAUACAUCAAAUGGAAUGGUUGACUGACACAAAUGCAAUUCCACAAAUUCUAUAGAUCCAUUUCAUGAACUUGCAAGUAAAUGUAAUUCUAUAAAAAAACUGUUAUGGGUACAAUUCAGUGUGCUGUUGUUCUUUUUGUAUUGUAAAAAGUGGGCUUUAAGAUUUAAGAAGGAGGUUCCAUAACGUAUCAGUAGAAAAGUCACACAGGAAAGUGAAGAGAGACUUUUGAAAAUGUUUCUGAAAGAUUGGCAAGGUAGGAAUGGAGCCUUUAAAAAAAAUCCCUUUUAUAUUUACACGUCACUUGGUAGAUCUGUAGACAAAGGCUCGUAUUACAUUUGAGUGCCAUGUGCUCUUCAAAUGAGGAAGAGAACCCCUCCAUGGGCAAAAUUUCACAGAUGAUUUUUACUUUUUUUCCUAAAAGUGAAGAGGGUUCAAGUUGAACCCUUCAUUAUUGUGUGUGUUACUUUUGAGAUUACUAGCGAGCAACUUUUGUCCUUUAGAUCGUUGUUAUUUAUAUACAUUGUAGCAUCAAGCAUUUAAAUUUAUCCACCAAUACCUCAUUUUGUUAUGCUGUUACUGAUUUUCUUCAUUAAAGUUUCCUCAUAUGCGAGAACUGAAUGUUUAGUUGUAAGCAGGUAUUGAUUGGUGUCUAGAUAUAAAAUUUAACUUUCACCAGUUUUGAGUAAAUGUGCUCUUUAAAGAAAUAUCCAUACUCAAGUGACUCCCAUGGUUGAUAAAUGGAAAUUCCAGGGGGGUAGGGGCAGGGAGGUUUUAUCUGAACCCUUGGUAUACUGGGGUAUGGAAUUUUACUGUAUUAACUCCAAAUGAUUUGCUUGUAGCAACAGUUUUUCUACAAUUGUACUGAUUAGGAAAUUUGAAAACAUUGUUCAUCAUACAAUUAAAUCCUCU